UGAGCAAUCUGCCCUUCACAUCGGAAUAACCAUUGGAAACGAUGGCUAAUACCGAAUAUGACUUCGGAUCGCAUGAUCUGAAGUGGAAAGCUCCGGCGGUGAAGGAUGAGCUCGCGGCCUAUCAGCUUGUUGGUGUGGGUAACGCCCACAAGGCGACGACGGGUAGCCGGCCUGAGAGGGUGACCCGGCCACACUGGGACUGAGACACCGGCCCAGACCUCGUACGGGGAGG
rnacentral:rRNA from 1 species